rnacentral:lncRNA from 10 species
CCAAGGGCACCACAGCCGAGGAAGCGACUUUUGCGGGGUAAGCCUCGCGGAGUCCUAGGACACAUCCCACAAACCGAGGUGAACCUAAGCCACCGGCUACGUCUGAAGGGAGGACAGACGAGACGAGGGGCAGCCAACUGAGCGAAUCACUCUGCCUUCCGCCUUUGCAAAUGAAUAGGGCUCUGUCUACAGCUUCCGCCAUUCCUACGCCAGAUCUGCAACGCCUAAGGCUUAAACUUGGCGCGGCGGUAAAUUUAGCCCGAAGGCAGCGGCUCCUAAGGGGCGGGGAUGUCUCCUUGGAAGAAGGAAAGGGAACAGGGUAAGAAAAUGGAGUUGCCUCUAGGAAGAAGAAUCAGGCAGAGGAAACAUUCAGGGCCGCUGGCGGACCACUGACAAAAAGAAAUCGGACGCAAAAGAAACCUCCCCAGAAGAAACUGGGCCACCGUGGGAGCCGUGCGAGACAGACUUCCCAUCUGGGAAGGGCUGCCUACGGGUAAUUGGGUUUGCUCGAGUUGCCUCUAUAAUUAAUAAGUGAUUUGACUUGGAGAUUGGAAAUAGUCAUGAAAGGAAGCCGCGGGCGUAGGGGUGUGAGGCCCAGGAGCCUCCAUCCGAAAUCCAAAGACCGCGGAGGAGGACGGUUUAAGGAACAGGACGAAUGUGAUAAUAUUGGCAUCUAACCUUCUAGUGUUUGAGUAAUUCGUUGCUUAGCUACUUUGGAUAGGCCAUUAUUUUGCAAACUGGAAACAUUUGCAAGUGGUGAUAUUUUGCUCUUGCCUGACGCAGGGGCUGCAAACCUACGCCGGCUCUGCUGAACUCUUCGAAAUAUAUAUGCAUAAAUUGUUCCUAAUGAGACCAUCUGUUUUUUAUGGCCCCUCUGGAAGCAGGAGGAACCCGAAGCCUGCUCCGUCUUGCAGAAAUCUGUGGCCAGGCAGGCCUGGGAAAUAAAUAGGGGAGAUUAGAACGGUGUGCGUGAUUUAACAAUACGCAGAACGGCAAGUUCGGUGGUCGAGAUGUGUGCCUCGAUUCCCAGGGGUGCGGGUCAUUUAGGGUGACUCCAGACAUGGGGGUUCCUCCUAGGAGGCCCAGGGACUUUGCGGAGUUCCACGGCACACACGAACCUCGUUUUUCCAUAUCUGGAACAUCGCCAGAGCCACAACGCGAAACCACGAGCCUGUAGCUGCUCUGGGGACCCAAAACAAGCACCCAGGUUGUAGGUGGUCCCCGACGUCGCCCACUAUCUAGGGCCUCCUUCUACGGUGGUGAAGGGAGCUGAACCUGGGCCACAGAGGCAGAGAACGAGCAUCACUCCACCCCAUACCCGGGUCAGAGCACAGAGCUCAUUCCGGGCCUAUCCCAAAGACUGAGCUGCUCCGCGAGCGUCUGGCAGGCCCAGCGCCCCGGCCUGAGACCGCACUGAGGGUGGCAGGGCAAACACUUUUCACAUUACCGCGUGGCUGUUAAUUGGGGCAGUGCAAAAGACGCCGCGACUACCCCUUUGCGGCGGCGGGGGAGGGGGGAGCGGGUCAGGAGUGGGCAGUGGGGGCUGCUUAUAAUAGAAGGACUGCCCUGGGGAGCCUCAGAUAUCGGUAACCCCCAUGAUUAAUUCAUAACUCUCCACUGCGCCUGGCACCGUCUCGGGUCUUUAAUCGGUUCUGAAUGUCAGCGAGGCUUCCCCGACAGCCUGAGCACUGCUUUUUCAAUGUGUUGAAAGUCGCUGCGCGCACACCAGGAGACAAAGUUGCCAUCUGCUCCGGGGACCAAGGCAACUGGGCGCUGGGAGGGGCCUUCCUCCCGCGGCUCCCGCUGCCCCGGGCGGCCUCCUCUUCCCGGCCUGCCCCAAAGCCAACACUGUCACCCGGAACGUCCCCGCCCCCCGCCCCGGGUGCAUGCAUGGUGGAAACUCCGGCUUGCAGCGAAACAGAGCGCUGCGCGCGGGCGCGCAGGGAGCCUCGCGGUCACCCAGACCGAGACCUAUGCUAAUGAGAUUAUAGGCCCGGGUUGUUUGUGUGCGCGGACGUCAAAGGGGGGGCGCAGAUAAAGUGUGGAAACCGGGAUGACUUGGAGGGGGGAGGGGCAGGAAGCCCCAGGAGAACAAAGCUCCUGGCCGUCGGCCUCCAAAGAGUCGCAGAAGUGACCGCCACUGGCUCGUGCACAGGCGGAAGCGGGGGAGGGCGGGGGACGCCAGGCCUAAAGCGCCUCGUGGGUUUAGAGAACUCAGAGAGGGCACCGGGUGGGGGUGGGAAGAAGACUCAACCCGUAGCUAAAUGUUUGGCCUUUGGCUAUUUUUUAAGGAAACGAAUCUCAGGGAGGUCGGGGCGCGGGGGAUGGGGGCAUCAUCGCGCCUCGGAGAUGGGAAGCGAGUUCCCCUCCGCUUUCUGGGAAAAGCCUUGUCUCCCUUCUUUCCCCUCCCCCCAUCCUGCUGAGGGUUUGCGUUGACCCAUCUCUCCGCUCGGGACCGGCAGGAGGACGGAGCCGCAGGGGCUGACCGCGGCCCAGAGGCUGCCCAGGGGUCGCGCUGCUGCCGGCCUGCGCUUCCGCACUCCCGGGUUCGGUGCGUCGCCUCUCGCGGCAGCGCCUCGCUUCUUCCAGACUGUAAUUCCACACUCCCGCAAGCGCUGGGGCUGCGGAAUCGUUUGAGGGAGUUGGAACUGCAUCAGAUGAGCACGCCGGGAGGUGAGAUCGGGUAGGAAAUAGCCGAAACUUUGAGUUGUGCGCCACCCCACCGCCCCCAACACACACACACAGGCACACACACACACACACACACACACACACACACAUUUACCCUCCCCCUUCCCAGCCGCAACCUCCGCCACCCUCUCGAUUCUUCAAGGUUUGCAGCCCAGUCCUGUCAUAUGGUUUUGUUUCUGUGCUGCUGUUUUUUUUCAGACACGAAAAUUGGACACGUGGAGAAUUAGCCCUGCUGGAGAAGCGCUGGGUGCAGACUCAAACAAUGGUUUCCAGCGCCGAAGCUGAGGCAUCACCUUCCCCACCUCCACCCUCAAAUGGCAGCUGCCUCUAUAUACAGCGGGCACACCCCUUCACUACCCACCCCCUCCCCCAAAGCCUGGUUAGGGACCUAUGUGGGCUGCACGCUCUGGAGCCCCUUGCCCGGACACAAACCCUAGGUGGGCCUGGGCUGCCCGCUGAGUAGCUCAUUGCGCCUGGGAUCCCCUGGGAUUUAGAAGUAUAGGGCUCUCUAUUUUUCCCUAGGAAGGUCCUGUCUCAAAGAUGCCACCCCCAAAAAUUAAUGUGUAAAAACCCAACCAAGCUCCAGUCUCUGUGUCCUUUGGCAAAUCUAUCUUUCCUAGGGCAUACUUUCCUAAGCUGCUGGGACCUUGCCCCCCAUCUGAUGAGCCAUACGCAGGUGGUCUGGCCUCUUCAGAGCAGCUUCCUUUAGUUAUUGUCUUCUCCAGAGGCCCCAUCCUCCACGGCAGCCCUAAUCUUAGCCCCCCAGCCUCUCUGAGCCCCCAUCCCACCCCCACACUGCGCUGAGCUGGCAGCAGCCACAGCUCCCCCAGGCAGUUCCUCUCUCACUGCGCGGCCUGUGCAUCUCGCUGGGGCACACACUCCGCACAGAAGCUCCCUCGCCUCCUGGAGCUGGUUUCCUCUUACAGGCUCCCCUUAGAGCUGCUGGUGCUGUGACAACGCCUGCAUCUCUGUGUCUCCCUGCAGCGCUGCGAGCUGUGAAUCUGCCUUCUCUUCCCUUCCUGCAAAGGUCAAGCUGCCUCCUUCUCUCGCAGGGCCGCAGUUCAGUUCUGGCCUGCAGAGCUUCUACACUGCAACUUGAAUAUGGGAAUGGGGUGGGCAUCGUGCAAGGGAGCAGUCACACUCAAGCCAGGAGGCAGGGACAAAAGGGUGUGCGAUUCAGGGAGGGAAACACUGAGGACAACCCUCAGAAAGCAGUGCAGGAUUUGCAGCUAAAGACUCAAAAGAGGGAGAGAAAACGAGGAAAAGGCUGUUACUAGGUCGUGAGUCCUGAAGUGUAGGCCUUUCUCCUCCCACCCCGUGGGUUGCCCUAGGGGAAGGCCAGAAGAGGCCUCAGGUGUCUGCACUGUGUCCUGUGCAGUUCCUAGGGCCAUGCACUUCCGGUGAGGCUGCACUUUACUCCAAGCAGGAGUCAGAAGCAUGGAAUUCAGUGGCCGCAGGAGCUCAAGUCGGCUGCAGCCCUUUCAAAGAGGGACCCCGAAGAGGCCUUUCUGCCACCCCAGCCCCAGAGAGGCUAUGAGGCUCUACAAGCAGCAGAGAGAAUGAUACGGAGAAAAAUGAGAGGAAACGCUAUUAAACUUGCUUCCUCUAAAGAGCGCUACCCACCGUUUUCUCUGAACUGUACCUAAAAAGUCAGGAGAGAACUCGUUAACUUUUGUUUGGUUUAACAUUGCCAGCUUCAAGUCAACCGUAGGCCCCCCGAAGGUUUUGUAAAAUAUUUAAUCUAGCUCAGACAAUUUCCUGCAGUCCCUAACCAGACCACCCCACUUACUGAGCCGCUGCCAAAAAGGAUGCUUGACUGCAGACUGGCAACCAGAGGCCUUCCAGUCGCCUGGCUGGCCUUGACCUCCACUCGAGGCGCCAGGAAAGACCCUUCCCGGAAUCCCGAGAGACCAAGACCUGGGUAAUCCUGGAGGUCUAAACCCGUGAGGAAGCCCAAGAAAUGGAGUUAAAGACCCUUUUCGCACAACCGAUUGUUGUCUGUGUGACCUUCUGCGGCCCUUGCCCUCUCUGAACCCUCUAAAAUGGGCAUGAGGAUGUCUCACCUUCCUCUGGGUGUUAUGCAUUUUGAAGCGUGGGCACUAUGGGAGAGGCUGACGCUCUGUGUUCCCCAGCGCCCUCCACUCCCACCCCUUCACUGUUUUCUUCGACAUUAUCUCCCUAGAGAACACAGCAAGCAGGAGCGGGAUCCUUCGACUCGGCUGACUCUCAACUCCUUCCAAACGUGAGGCUGACGGGGAGAACUCCUGCUCUGCCCAGUUUCCAUUCCCGCCUCCAGAAUAACGAGCCGAAAACAUGUGUACUGUAAAUAAAGCCUGUCUAAAUAAAGCACUCGGGUAAAGGCUACCGAGAAAACACUCCGCAUCGCUCUGUGCUCAGAGCGUGAGUCAGCUUCCCAGCCCCGGGGGAACAAUGGGGACCUUGCCAAGGGUCCCCUUCUGUCGACCCCUGACGGCCCCCAGGCCCGUUUGGGUGGCGGGAGUGCCGGCACCCUGGGACCUUCGGGCCCGAGGUUCGGGAGGGCUAAGGGCGCUCCAGGCGACCAGGGUUGGGGUCCAGCCCCAGGAUUAGCGCGGCCAGGAAUCCCUCU